AUGAACGCUGGCGGCGUGCUUAACACAUGCAAGUCGAACGGAAAGGCCCAAGCUUGCUUGGGUACUCGAGUGGCGAACGGGUGAGUAACACGUGGGUGAUCUGCCCUGCACUUCGGGAUAAGCCUGGGAAACUGGGUCUAAUACCGGAUAGGACCACAUUUUGGAUGGUGUGGUGGAAAGUUUUUCGGUGUGGGAUGAGCUCGCGGCCUAUCAGCUUGUUGGUGGGGUAAUGGCCUACCAAGGCGUCGACGGGUAGCCGGCCUGAGAGGGUGUACGGCCACAUUGGGACUGAGAUACGGCCCAGACUCCUACGGGAGGCAGCAGUGGGGAAUAUUGCACAAUGGGCGCAAGCCUGAUGCAGCGACGCCGCGUGGGGGAUGACGGCCUUCGGGUUGUAAACUCCUUUCGCUAGGGACGAAGCGCAAGUGACGGUACCUUGAGAAGAAGCACCGGCUAACUACGUG
rnacentral:rRNA from 1 species